rnacentral:rRNA from 1 species
GACAGGUGGUGCAUGGUUGUCGUCAGCUCGUGUCGUGAGAUGUUGGGUUAAGUCCCGCAACGAGCGCAACCCUUAAGCUUAGUUGCCAUCAUUAAGUUGGGCACUCUAAGUUGACUGCCGGUGACAAACCGGAGGAAGGUGGGGAUGACGUCAAAUCAUCAUGCCCCUUAUGAUUUGGGCUACACACGUGCUACAAUGGACAAUACAAAGGGCAGCGAAACCGCGAGGUCAAGCAAAUCCCAUAAAGUUGUUCUCAGUUCGGAUUGUAGUCUGCAACUCGACUACAUGAAGCUGGAAUCGCUAGUAAUCGUAGAUCAGCAUGCUACGGUGAAUACGUUCCCGGGUCUUGUACACA